rnacentral:rRNA from 1 species
UACGAAGGGGGCUAGCGUUGCUCGGAAUCACUGGGCGUAAAGGGUGCGUAGGCGGGUCUUUAAGUCAGGGGUGAAAUCCUGGAGCUCAACUCCAGAACUGCCUUUGAUACUGAGGAUCUUGAGUUCGGGAGAGGUGAGUGGAACUGCGAGUGUAGAGGUGAAAUUCGUAGAUAUUCGCAAGAACACCAGUGGCGAAGGCGGCUCACUGGCCCGAUACUGACGCUCAUGCACGAUAGCGUGGGGAUCAAACAGG